GCAGAUACCAGCUGGCUGCAACUGUUUAAUAAAAACACAGCACUGUGCAAACACGAAAGUGGACGUAUACGGUGUGACGCCUGCCCGGUGCUGGAAGGUUAAUUGAUGGGGUCAGCCGCAAGGCGAAGCUCUUGAUCGAAGCCCCAGUAAACGGCGGCCGUAACUAUAACGGUCCUAAGGUAGCGAAAUUCCUUGUCGGGUAAGUUCCGACCUGCACGAAUGGCGUAAUGAUGGCCAGGCUGUCUCCACCCGAGACUCAGUGAAAUUGAACUCGCUGUGAAGAUGCAGUGUACCCGCGGCAAGACGGAAAGACCCCGUGAACCUUUACUAUAGCUUGACACUGAACAUUGAGCCUUGAUGUGUAGGAUAGGUGGGAGGCCUUGAAGUGUGGACGCCAGUCUGCAUGGAGCCAACCUUGAAAUACCACCCUUUAAUGUUUGAUUGUCUAACUCGGCCCCAUAAUCUGGGGUGAGGACAGUGUCUGGUGGGUAGUUUGACUGGGGCGGUCUCCUCCCAAAGAGUAACGGAGGAGCACGAAGGUUAGCUAAUCACGGUCGGACAUCGUGAGGUUAGUGCAAAGGCAUAAGCUAGCUUGACUGCGAGAGUGACGGCUCGAGCAGGUACGAAAGUAGGUCUUAGUGAUCCGGUGGUUCUGAAUGGAAGGGCCAUCGCUCAACGGAUAAAAGGUACUCCGGGGAUAACAGGCUGAUACCGCCCAAGAGUUCAUAUCGACGGCGGUGUUUGGCACCUCGAUGUCGGCUCAUCACAUCCUGGGGCUGAAGUAGGUCCCAAGGGUAUGGCUGUUCGCCAUUUAAAGUGGUACGCGAGCUGGGUUUAGAACGUCGUGAGACAGUUCGGUCCCUAUCUGCCGUGGGCGUUGGAAGAUUGAGAGGGGCUGCUCCUAGUACGAGAGGACCGGAGUGGACGAAUCACUGGUGUUCGGGUUGUCAUGCCAAUGGCAUUGCCCGGUAGCUAAAUUCGGAAGAGAUAACCGCUGAAAGCAUCUAAGCGGGAAACUUGCCUCGAGAUGAGUCUUCCCUGGGGCUUAAAGACCCCUGAAGGAACGUUAAAGACUAUGACGUUGAUAGGCUGGGUGUGUAAGUGCAGCGAUGUAUUGAGCUAACCAGUACUAAUGAUCCGUGAGGCUUAACCUUACAACACCGAAGGUGUUU
rnacentral:rRNA from 1 species